rnacentral:rRNA from 1 species
AUGUCAGCGGUUCGAGUCUGCUUAUCUCCAGCCCGUGAACUUAGCGGAUACUAUGAUAGCGAUAGCACCGAAUUUUGCCAAUUCGGCAGUUCGAUCUAUGAUUUCACAUUCAUGGACGUUGAUAAGAUCCUUCCAUUUAGUAGCACCUUAGGAUGGCAUAGCCUUAAUGUUAAUGGCGAGGUUCAAAAGAGGAAAGGCUUGCGGUGGAUACCUAGGCACCCAGAGACGAGGAAGGGCGUAGCAAGCGACGAAAUGCUUCGGGGAGUUGAAAAUAAGCAUAGAUCCGGAGAUUCCCAAAUAGGUCAACCUUUUAAACUGCCUGCUGAAUCCAUGAGCAGGCAAGAGACAACCUGGCGAACUGAAACAUCUUAG